CUAGAGUAACCGAUGGGCUUUGCAGAUAGCAACUUGAGGAUUCUGCAACUGGAUGUUCUACUAGUCAAGAAUAGGAAUAGGUCUGAGCAGUGGUCCACCUCCCACCCCAAUAAAGGAUUUUACUCAAGGUUGGCUUUAUCCCUGGUUUCUUCAUAUGCCAUUCCCUUGGAGCAGCCAUCUUGAUCCCCUGAUCUAAAUGAAAGGCCUCUCAUUAAAGGCUCUCACUGAAUUGUGUACUUCUUUUUUAUGGUGCCUAUCACAGCCCUGAGGAGAUCUGAUUAACAUUUGUCUCCUUCCCUGGUCUACAAAACCCAUGAUGUCAGAGGCCAUGUCUAUUUUGUUCACUCAGCAAGUAGCACCAAACACACAGUAGGUGCUCAAUAAGUAUCAGCUGAAUGACAAACACCAUCACUGUAAGAAGACUCCUACAAUCUUCACGUUUCUCUACUGUCGCCCACUCUACAGAGUCCCUUUUCCGAAUUUUAUAUAUCAUUCCUCUGGCUUCUGGAUCCAGUGCUUAAGCUUGGUGUGGGAGUGCUUCAGAACCACUGCUGGCUCACGCUGCUGGAAAGUGACGCACCAGUGGAAAGCUUUGGCUUCGGUUCUAACCUCAGAGACUUCACUAGAACGUCUCCUCUGUGUUGUGCUCCCCUACUCUGACUGUGAUUUUGGCGUUCACCUCAUUUCUUGCCUCCACUAGCUCUCAUGACUGUUCAUAACAGUGUUUCCGAUUAACUCCCCCAUGAUCCCAAACAACUUUAUUCCUAAAAAUCUCCCAUCACCACUUAAGUGUUAAAUAUGUACCUUGCAAUAUUCCCAAUAUAUAAAUAAGUGAAGUAUCCCAGAAAUGUUAAUUGCUUCAGGUUAUACAGCAAAUAAGUGGUAAAAACCAGAGUGGGAAACUACUUAAUUCUAAACCCCCUAAGGCCUCUGUUUUAUAUAUCUAAGUUUUCCUAACCAUGCCCAGCACAAUGCCUGGCGCAUAUUAACAGCUUAUUAAAUAUUUGUUGAACGAGAACCCUGAAUUCCUGCUGAAGAUGACUCGUACUCCAUUCUACAUCAGCUGUUUCCCAAACUCUGAAUAUAUCUACCCCCUACUAAACUUUCUAAGUUUGGAGUUCAGUCGCUCAGUCGUGUCUGACUCUGCGACCUCAUGAACCGCAGCACACCAGGCCUCCCUGUC
rnacentral:lncRNA from 1 species